AUUGAACGCUGGCGGCAGGCCUAACAAAUGCAAGUCGAACGAGUGGCCGACGGGUGAGUAAUGUCUGGGAAACUGCCUGAUGGAGGGGGAUAACUACUGGAAACGGUAGCUCAUACCGCAUACCAUCAGAUAUGCCCAGAUGGGAUUAGCUUGUUGGGGGGGUAACGGCCAACCAAGGCGACGAGCCCUAGCUGGUCUGAGAGGAUGACCAGCAACACUGGAACUGAGACACGUUCCAGACUCCUACGGGAGGCAGCAGGGGGGAAUAUUGCACAAUGGGAGCAAGCCAGAUGCAGCCAGGCCGCGUGUAUGAAGAGGGCCUUCGGGUUGUAAAGUACUUUCAUCGGGGAGGCGUGACCCGCAGAAGAAGCACCGGGUAACUUCGUGCCAGCAGCCGCGGUAAUUC
rnacentral:rRNA from 1 species